GAUCCUGGGCUGUGUCCUGGCGCCCUGUGCUCCUGGUCUGCGCUGUUGGAUUCCCGCUCCCGGC
rnacentral:pre_miRNA from 1 species